rnacentral:rRNA from 1 species
AUUGAACGCUGGCGGCAGGCCUAACACAUGCAAGUCGAACGAGUGGCGGACGGGUGAGUAAUGUCUGGGAAUCUGCCUGAUGGAGGGGGAUAACUACUGGAAACGGUAGCUAAUCCCGCAUACCAUCAGAUGUGCCCAUAUGGUAUUAGCUUGUUGGUGGGGUAACGGCUCACCAAGGCGACGAUCCCUAGCUGGUCUGAGAGGAUGACCAGCGACACGGGGACUGAGAAACGGUCCAGCCUCCAACGGGAGGCAGCAGUGGGGAAGAUUGCACAAUGGGCGCAAGCCUGAUGCAGCCAGGCCGGGUGGAUGAAGAAGGCCGUAGGGUUGUAAAGUACUUUCAGCGGGGAGGCGUUACCCGCAGAAGAAGCACCGGCUAACUCCGUGCCAGCAGCCGCGGUAAUAC